CGGCCAAUACAGUAGAAUUAUGUCAAUUUUCAAAAAUUCCUUAAAAAUCAUCCUGAGUAGUUGAUGUACAACUUUCAACACAUCCCUCCUCUGGGACACCUACUGUACCUGUGUGCCAAGUUUCAUCCAAAUUUACUGUAGAAUUCCUCAGAAAUUAAAGGGUACUUGUAUUCAAUGCAGUCGGCCAAUACAGUAGAAUUAUGUCAAUUUUCAAAAAUUCAUUAAAAAUCAUCCUGAGAAGUUGAUGUACAACUUUCAACACAUCCCCCCUCUGGGACACCUACUGUACCUGUGUGCCAAGUUUCAGCCAGAUUUACUGUAGAAUCCUCAGAUAUUAAAGGGUACUUGUAUUAAAUUUCACCGUCAAAUUAAUAAAGCUUCUCUGGUUCUGAUUUUUCUGUAGAAUAUGUAUAUUUUGGGCAUAAAUAAAAUUACAUUGAGGUGCAGAAUAGCUUUCCAAAAGCUAAUUUUGAUAGUCUUUAAUUACUCAUUUUAAUGUCAGAUCCUUUAAUCUGAGUUGCACAGUGGCAUGGUGUUUAGCACUGUUGCCCCAUAGCAAGAAUGUUGUCAGUUCAAUUCCACCAUCAUGCUGUUUUCUUUCUGUCUGGAGUUUGCAUAUUCUCCACAUGUUUGCAUGUGUUCUCUCUGGGUACUCUGGCUUCCUCCCACUGUCCAAAGAUAUGUGUGGAAUUGAUUAAUCUAAGUUAUAGGUGUGAGUGCUAAUGGUUUUCUGUCCCUGUGUGUUUGCCCUGCGCCAGACUUGCGACCUGUCCAGGGUAUACCUCGCCUCUCGCCCUAUGACAGCGACCUCACGCAAGCCUUUAGAGGACAAACGCAAGUGAAUAGAUGGAUGUUUCAAUGUAGUUGUAUUUUAUUCUAUUCUACUUUGUAUAUUUCUGUACAGUAUUUUAUUCUUAUUGUAUUCCAAUUUUGGUAUAUAACUUUUUCACUGUCCACUUCCUGCUGUGACAAAACAAUUUUCCCACGUGUUGGAAUAAUAAAGGUUAUCAUAUCUUAUCUCUUUUUUCUCAUUGUUUUCUGUUUUUAAUGUUGGUUGAUUUUACACUGUAAUACUAAAAUGUACAGCAUUGCUGAGUAUCAAAAUAUUUUAGUUUUACUCACAUUUUUCAACAUUUAGCUUUCU
ensembl:lncRNA